GGGGAACCUGUGGAGCAUUUUUUAUUAAUGGUUGAUGUGGAGAGGGCCCAGCCCAUUGUAGAUGGUGACACCCCUGGGCAGGCUGUCCUGGCUUGUCAUAAAAAGCAGAUUGAGCAGGUCAUGAUGAGUGAGCCAAUAAACAGCACUGGCCCAUGGCCUCUACUUCAGUUCCUGCCUCGAGUUCUACCCUGACCCCCCAAUAAUGAACUGUAAGCUGUAAGGUGAAAUGAACCCCUAGCCCUGCCCAAGUUGCUUUUGAUUUUGAUGUUUACCAUGGCCUAGAAACCUAUCUGGAAGUCAGUGUAAAAUUUCUUUGCAGGAGUUCCAUAGAGACAGUAUCUUCUCUUAGGCAUCCAGGGAUGUUAAUUAUAGUGAUUUCUUUUAUAAUAAUGUUAUCUUUCAUUCUUUUGCUUCUGUUUUUACUUUUCAGACUUCUUUAAAUAUGUGCCGAAACCUGGCUGUGUUUCAGAGGAGCAUUUGCAGAAGCAACCAGCUCAUGCAACAUUUUCAUUAGGUGUGCAAACCUUGAAGAAUGGGUAUGGUCCUCAGUUGUGGAUUGGCUUCCACCCCGUUAGAUUCCUGUGUUCCCAGCAGUCCUUCAGCACUUAUCCUGGAAGAGGACUGGGCAGGAAAGGCCUGGAUCUUGGUCUGGCAGGAGGACAAGCCACUGCGGACCUGCAGACUGUGAGAAACAAACUUUGGUCAUUCGGAGCCGCCGAGAUCCAAGGUGGAUGAAACUGAAGAACUGUGGCCAAAGAUGGGCAUUGCUGGGAUGCCUCCUGACCCAGAGGACAAGGCUAGAGGCUGGGACUGCCUCUCUCCCAGGAGACAGAGAGCUUGAGCCCAGAGAUCAAAGCCCCCAGAUCUCUGACAGAAGAUCACAGCCCAUUCCAGAACAUUGCCAUUCUGCUUCCUUCAUCAAUGUCUUUCACCCUUUCAGGGAAAAGCAUAUGCAAGCCAAGGCCCUCCUCUUUCUUACCCUCCCUGUAGCCACACUUUAAGUCACAGCCUUUCGUGGUUGGUUCCAUGUAAAUUGCAUUUUUGUUAAUUUAUUGAACCCCCUUUCAAGUCCCUCCCCCUAUACUUCUGCAGUCCUCAUCUCUGGCUCCAAUGUGACAGCCUAACUAAAGGUCUAAAAGGAUUAGGAGGCUCUUGGUCAAGCAGUCACAUCUGGAAAUUUAACCUAAAGGGAUACUCACCACACACACAAAAGUGGUUAUGCAAAGAAAUCCAGCAAACAACCUGAAUGACUCAGAGAAUUCACUAAAUAACUCAGGCAUAUUGAGAAAAUGAAAUCCUCAUCAUGUGGCACUCAAAGGGGUAUGGUAAAAUAUUUUUAUUGGUGUGGAAAGGUGAACAUUAUCAAGCAGAAUGUGGUAUGAACUUCUUUUAUUAAAAAAAUAUGGGCGUA